AGACCUUCCUGGUUAGUGGCAGAGCGUCUGUCUUGUAAACAGAAGGUCGCUGGUUCGAUUCCAGCAUGAGGCA